UUUUAAUCACGCCCUAAAUUCUUCAGGCACCCUGGGACCAGCUGGAAUACAGGACAAGCACCAGGGAGACAGAGAACACCAGCUUCAUCGGCUUGGCGGUCAGUGCCCAUUUCCACCUGUAACGACAUGAGGACGUGCAUGCAGUUGGGACAGACAUUUUCCUCUCAGUGACCACCCCAGCCUGAACCACUUUAUGACAGAAAAGUGUCUCAGUUCUUUUCCGCUCAGCUCUUCUGUCUGAACAUCCUCAGCUAAUCCUUGAAGAGGAAAACUAAUGAUCUGCAAAGAUGGCCACCAACGUGCCUUCCCG
rnacentral:lncRNA from 1 species